UACGUAGGCAGCGAGCGUUGUUCGGAGUUACUGGGCGUAAAGCGUGCGUAGGCGGUGUCUUAAGUUUGUUGUGAAAUCUCCCGGCUUAACCGGGAGGGUGCGGCGAAUACUGAGAUGCUGGAGUGCGGGAGAGGUAUGUGGAAUUCCAGGUGUAGCGGUGAAAUGCGUAGAUAUCUGGAGGAACACCGGUGGCGAAGGCGACAUCCUGGACCGGUAUUGACGCUGAGGCGCGAAAGCCAGGGGAGCAAACGGG
rnacentral:rRNA from 1 species